rnacentral:rRNA from 1 species
GGAGUAAUUYUAAACGGCCGCGGAAUUUUAACCGUGCUAAGGUAGCAUAAUCAUUUGUCUUUUAAUUAAAGACUUGUAUGAAUGGUUUAAUGAAAUAAAGCUAUCUCUAAAAUAUUAAAUAAAAAUUAUUUUUAAAGUGAAAAAUCUUUAAUAAAAUAAAAAGACAAAAAGACCCUAUAGAGUUUAAUUUAUCUGUAUAGACACAUAUAUAUAUAAAUUUAGUUGGGGCAACUAAUGAAAAAAAAAAUUUCUUUUAAAAAAAAAAAAUAAAAUCAUUAAUUUAAUACUAUAAAACAAAUUACCUUAGGGGUAACAGCGUAAUUUUUUUUAAGAGCUCAAAUCGAARAAAAAAAUUAC